AUUGAACGCUGGCGGCAGGCCUAACACAUGCAAGUCGAGCGAGUGGCGGACGGGUGAGUAAUGCCUGGGAAUUGCCCCAUCGAGGGGGAUAAGAGUUGGAAACGACUGCUAAUAACGCAUAGGGCUGGAUUGCUCAGGGGGGAUUAGAUAGUUGGUGAGGUAAUGGCUCACCAAGGUGACGAUCCCUAGCUGGUCUGAGAGGAUGAUCGGCCACACGGGAACUGAGACACGGUCCAGACUCCUACGGGAGGCAGCAGUGGGGAAUAUUGCACAAUGGGGGAAACCCUGAUGCAGCCAUGCCGCGUGUGUGAAGAAGGCCUUCGGGUUGUAAAGCACUUUCAGCGAGGAGGCGUUACUCGCAGAAGAAGCACCGGCUAACUCCGUGCCAGCCGCCGCGGUAAUUC
rnacentral:rRNA from 1 species